rnacentral:lncRNA from 1 species
UUCGACACUCACAAAACGAACGCCAGGGAAAUCAUCAAUUGGCUAGUGACCGGAGGGAGGUCAGUAAUGGUCGAGUCGAGGGCCGACAGUCUGGCUGUGAGACCGAGUUCUACUCUUGAGUAGGAGUAGCUUCAGGUACAGAGGAAAAAUAAUACAUUCUAUAGACAGUUAACUCAGCUGCUUCGACCUUUUUUUCCCCAAAGUUUUUUUUUUAAAGGAACAACAUUAAAAAAAAAAACACAAAACACCAUCGUUUCUCGGCCUUUUGGCUGAGAUCAAGUGUGUAAGAAACAAAACGCCCUCACCUUAGUAUCUGAAAGGGAAGGAAGCUGUGGUUGGCUCGAAUAGGGAGAAGGGGAAGCUGAAAUAGCAAGAUUCCAUUUUAAACUACCAGGACAGGAGCCAUGGUUGUCAUUUGCCUUCCUUCCUCCCAACACCCGACCAAUUCCUACUCAAAAUAACAGCUUUUGCAUAUGUAAAUCAGGGAGAUUAUGCUAAGAACCCCGGACUCUGCCCCACAGUGAAGUGUGUAACACACACGAUGACUUGGAUGAACGAGAGGGUCCACCAUUUGGAUUUCUGCAAUGGCCAUGACUUUAAUGAGCUCCAGGAGCCUGCAGCAAUGAGUACGCUCUUGCCUGUUUAUGUUCCAAAUCGAAUGGAAAGCUAAGAACAAACAUCCCACUAAAAGUACAUUUUCUAAAGGCAGAAAUUUCUUUGAACUGACGUCCUCAACAAAGGUGAGCACUGUUCCAGGAACCCCGAAACAGAUUCCCGGCACUUCCUGUGUGAGAACUGAAACACCUGACCAGCUGCACUGUUAA